rnacentral:rRNA from 1 species
CAAACCAAAGCUGGCGACCGGCGCACGGGUGAGUAACACGUAUCCAACCUGCCUCAUACUCGGGGAUAGCCUUUCGAAAGAAAGAUUAAUAUACGAUAGCAUAUAUUUCCCGCAUGGGUUUUAUAUUAAAGAAAUUCGGUAUGAGAUGGGGAUGCGUUCCAUUAGUUUGUUGGGGGGGUAACGGCCCACCAAGACUACGAUGGAUAGGGGUUCUGAGAGGAAGGUCCCCCACAUUGGAACUGAGACACGGUCCAA